GUCUUUUUAUUUGAGAUGUUUAGUCUAUGACCUUGAAAUUGAGGUCAAGGUCAUAGGUUAAUUGGACGUUCUAGAUUUUGACCUUUGCUUAAAAUUCAUAUUUAUACAUCAUUAAGCCAUAGGAACUGACAUUUUCAACUGAAUUUUAAUAUUUUCAUAUCAAAAUAGAUCCUUAUUGGUUGAAAGACCUUCAAUUGUUCUUUGAACAAUUGGUUUUUAAUUUUUUUUUUUUUUCUUCCGCCAACUUUUUUUCCUUCGCUGUUUUUUUGUUUUCACAAGAUAUCGCUUAGAUAUAAGGUAAAUGAUAUCAACAGUUAAUAGGCUUCUGAAACUGACACCGCGUAACAAAAAACUUUACCUUGUAAGAGUUAUCUCCCCGAACACUGUUUUUCUUGUGGCCACUACUCCUUCGCGACCGUAUAAGAAACCGACAAAUUUAUUUAUCCAAAUUGCUCGUUAUAUCCUUAGGAUGUUCUGUUUCAUUUCAACCGAAGCUAUCCGGAGACUCCAUAUGAGAGUUAUCCCCCCUUUUAUAUAUGAUAUCAGUGAUAUGCAUUUCUAACUGGUAAACUAUAAGUGAUAGAGACCUAGGGUCUUUUGAUUUAAGAUCCUUGGUCCAAAAAAAUGAAAAUUAGGUCAAGGUCAAAAGGUCAAGGUCAAAUUCUAAAUUUUGAUUUUGGCUUAUUUUCACUUAUUCUCAUUAACUUUAUAAGAUUUCGACAAAUUCUUUUUACUAAAUUGUUAGUUGCGACAUGUCGUAACUUAAAAUUUUUGAUUGGAAGGGUGCGUAGACAAUAAACGGGAGUUUUUUGCCCUCUUAUAUUUAGAAUUAUGCGUAAAGUGAUAUUACUCAUGAACCAUACAUACUACUGACCUAGGGUCUUUUGAUUUGGGAUCCUUGGUUUAUGACCUUGAAAUUGGGGUCAAGGUCAUAGGUUAAUUGGACGUUCUAGAUUUUGACCUUUGCUCCAAAUUCAUAUUUUCAUAUCAUAAAGCCAAAGCAACUGACAUUUUCAACUGAAUCUUAAUAUUUUCACAUCAAAAUAGAUCCUUAUUGGUUGAAAGACCUUCAAUUGUUCUUUGAACAAUUGGUUUUUAAUUAUUAUUUUUUUUUUUUUUUUUUUUCUUCCACCAACUUUUUUUUCCUUCGCUGUUUUUUUGUUUCACAAGAUGUCGCUUACAUAUUUGGUAUAUGAUAUCGAACAGUUAAUGCGCUUCUGAAACUGACACCGCGUAACAAAAACCUUUACCUUGUAAGAGUUAUCUCCCCAACACUGUUUUUCUUGUGGCCACUACUACUUCGCAACCGUAUAAGAAACCGACAAAUUUAUUUUUCCAAAUUGCUCGUUAUAUCCUUAGGAUGUUCUGUUUCAUUUCAACGGAAGCUAUCCGGAGACUCCAUAUGAGAGUUAUCCCCCCUUUUAUAUAUGAUAUCAGUGAUAUGCAUUUCUAACUGGUAAACUAUAAGUGAUAGAGACCUAGGGUCUUUUGAUUGAAGAUCCUUGGUCCAAAAAAAUGAAAAUUAGGUCAAGGUCAAAGGUCAAGGUCAAAUUCUUAAUUUUGAUUUUGGCUUAUUUUCACCUUUUUUCAUUAACCUUAUAAGAUAUCGACAAUUUUUUUUUACUAAAUUGUUAGUUGCGACAUGUCGUAACUUAUAAAUUUUGGUUGCGAGGGUGCGUAAACAAUAAAAGGGAGUUUUCGCCCCUCUUAUAUUAAGAAUUAUGCGUAAAGUGAUUUUACUCAUGAACCAUACAUAUUAAGGAACUAGUGUCUUUUUAUUUGAGAUGUUUAGUCUAUGACCUUGAAAUUGAGGUCAAGGUCAUAGGUUAAUUGGACGUUCUAGAUUUUGACCUUUGCUUAAAAUUCAUAUUUAU
rnacentral:lncRNA from 1 species